ACCUUUGUGUCUAUGCUCCGA
rnacentral:siRNA from 1 species